UUGCCGUAGGUGAACCUUCGGCAGGAUCAUUAACAUGAAUCUUCUUCUAUUCACCCUAUGUGAACAACCCUUUGUGGUUGGUGCCUUUGCGGGCGCUGAUCAUAAACCUUUUUUAUGAUUCACACAGUUUUCUUUUUGAACGUUAAACUGAAUCAUAAACCGUCUCGACUGAGACGACUAAAUGAUACACAACUGUUAACAAUGGAUAUCUUGGCUCUU
rnacentral:misc_RNA from 1 species